AGGAGGAGCAGCCAGAGAAGCCCUGGGCGGCAGCAGUCAGGAAAGCUGGGCUUUUCCUGCUCUGUGCCCUACUUUCUGGCUGCCCUUGGACAGGUCACGCCUGUCUCUGGGCUCCGUUUGUUUGCCUGAUGUCGUUCCCCCUUUCCAUCCUUGCCCCUGGGUAGAGUCCAGUCCCUAUCUGGCAACCAGCGUGACUUAGACACCACUUGGCUCCUGGCGGCGGCUGCCCAUCUCACCCAGAGAAGGACCCAGGUCCCUGGCAUUCACUCUAUGAUUGAUUGGACUUCUUGUCUGCCUCCCCCACACUUCCCCCUGUGGAAUGUGAGCUCCACAGGGCGAGGACCUCUGUAGACGCGCUACGUUCGCCUGGUGCAGGACAGAUGCGCAAUCACUCUGGAAGAGAAAACAUAGGUGCAUCUCUCCAUGGAGAGGACUAGGGUGCAGAGGAUGAGGUGCCAUCGAGCUCCUCCAAUUCUGAGCGAUUCUGGUUCUCUGCUCCGCCAGCUUUGGCAUCCAGCCCAGCAGCGUGAUGAGAGCCUGGAAGUGUCUUCUCCAGGCUCCGUGGCUCCCAGGCCUUGGAUGAUGGCCAGUGCUCCAACCAGCACAGAGAGUGCCUGCUCCCCACGACGCUCCCCACCCUAGGAAAGCUCCUAUUUAUUAACAGUCAUGGUGCCAAGAGAGCUUUCUGCCUGUGCCCAAGCCCCGAGUACCAUGGAGCUUCAAUCUUUUAUGAAACAGCUUUUCAUUUCUUCCUUCUCUACGAAGGGCUUUCACAAGCCACCGAGUGGUUCUUUGCCCAUCAAUUUUUAAUCUUGCUCAAGUUUUAUUUUCCACUUGACCAAUGCUCCGUUCAUAAAUAACACAUCAAAACUUUGCUCCAA